UACGGAGGGUCCAAGCGUUAUCCGGAAUCAUUGGGUUUAAAGGGUCCGUAGGCGGUUUUGUAAGUCAGUGGUGAAAGCCCAUCGCUCAACGGUGGAACGGCCAUUGAUACUGCAAGACUUGAAUUAUUAGGAAGUAACUAGAAUAUGUAGUGUAGCGGUGAAAUGCUUAGAGAUUACAUGGAACACCAAUUGCGAAGGCAGGUUACUACUAAUUGAUUGACGCUGAUGGACGAAAGCGUGGGGAGCGAACAGG
rnacentral:rRNA from 1 species